rnacentral:rRNA from 1 species
CAGCCGCCGCGGUAAUACGUAGGUGGCAAGCGUUGUCCGGAAUUAUUGGGCGUAAAGGGCUCGCUGGCGGUUUCUUAAGUCUGAUAUGAAAGCCCCCGGCUCAACCGGGGAGGGUCAUUGGAAACUGGGAAACUUGAGUGCAGAAGAGGAGAGUGGAAUUCCACGUGUAGCGGUGAAAUGCGUAGAGAUGUGGAGGAACACCAGUGGCGAAGGCGACUCUCUGGUCUGUAACUGACGCUGAGGAGCGAAAGCGUGGGGAGCGAACAGGAUUAGAUACCCCUGUAGUCCCUGUCUCUUAUAC